AUCGGGAUAACACCUGGAAACAGAUGCUAAUACCGGAUAACAACAGAUGAUGCCUAUCAACUGUUUAAAAGAUGGUUCUGCUAUCACUCUUGGAUGGACCUGCGGUGCAUUAGCUAGUUGGUAGGGUAACGGCCUACCAAGGCGAUGAUGCAUAGCCGAGUUGAGAGACUGAUCGGCCACAUUGGGACUGAGACACGGCCCAAACUCCUACGGGAGGCAGCAGGA
rnacentral:rRNA from 1 species